rnacentral:lncRNA from 1 species
AUGGUUCGAGGUUCCUGGAUUCAACAUCAUCCACGCCAUCAACGCCUGGGACGAAGACGACGGUGACACCAUCGUUCUCAUCGCUCCCAACAUUAUGUCGAUCGAGCACACGCUGGAGAGGAUGGAGCUCGUCCACGCCUUGGUGGAGAAGGUGAAGAUCGAUCUCGUCACCGGGAUCGUGACACGUCAUCCGAUCUCCGCGAGGAACCUCGAUUUCGCCGUGAUCAAUCCGGCGUUCGUUGGGAGACGGAGCCGGUACGUGUACGCGGCGAUCGGAGAUCCGAUGCCGAAGAUCUCCGGGGUGGUGAAGCUCGACGUGACUAGAGGAGAUAGGGACGAUUGCACGGUGGCGCGUAGGAUGUACGGUCCAGGUUGUUACGGAGGCGAACCGUUUUUCGUAGCUAGGGAUCCUGGUGAUCCGGAGGCGGAGGAGGAUGACGGUUACGUGGUGACGUAUGUGCAUGAUGAGGUGGCGGGAGAGUCGAAGUUUCUUGUGAUGGACGCUAAGUCGCCGGAGCUUGAGGUCGUAGCCGCUGUGAGGUUGCCGCGAAGGGUUCCG